rnacentral:rRNA from 1 species
GACAGAGGGUGCAAACGUUGUUCGGAAUUACUGGGCGUAAAGCGCGUGUAGGCGGUUCGGAAAGUCGGGAUGUGAAAGCCCUGGGCUCAACCCAGGAAGUGCACUCGAAAACUCCCGAACUAGAGUCCUGGAGAGGAAGGCGGAAUUCUCGGUGUAGAGGUGAAAUUCGUAGAUAUCGAGAGGAACAUCGGUGGCGAAGGCGGACCUU